AGGUUUAGUUGCGUGCACCCCUCAAGAAACUUGUACGUGCAGGGGUUUCAGUAAAGUUCCCGGAAGCCUAUCCACGCCCCAAACUCGAGCUUAUUUCUCGAGUAGGCUGGUCAGUAGUAAACUUCUCCCACGCUGACGAGCAGGGUGAACGUGAGAACAGAAGUCUGGGAAGCGGUAUCUCCCAGGCAUUUGCUAUUGCAGGUACGUACGGUGUUUCACCUCCUGACCAGCCCGGGGCAAUAGAGCAGAUUGCUAAUCAAUGAGGCGAGCUGGGAAGGACUAUGGGCUUCGGGCCAACGACCACGUACUACCCCGCCUAAAGCCUGACAGCUCCAGCAUCUAGGGCAUCCUAACCGCCAGAUACCGACUGGUGCAGGCCCCAGACUCCCAAGCACGAAGCCAUACUAGCCAGCAGGGAGUGGUCUACACCUCUAAACCGAAAGCGAGGAUGUUCUCCGUAAAAGUUUCAAUGACUGAAAUCUACGGCGCAAGUUCUUUAACAGGCUUAUUUAUAGUAGCUUUAGGCAGCCUACUCUAAGCCUUCUGAUUGGCUCGAAGCAAAGUAAGGAAGCAGCCAAUGAAAAGCUAGACCUGCAAGUAUCUUUUACAUCCGCAUUUGUGACGACACACUAAAAUUAAUCCAAUCGCGGACGAAAUCUUACUAACCUCAUUUGAAUACCGCAUCUAUAAAUAAACGUGGCUUUGGUGCCGCGAGUUAUUUUCCCAGCUCUUAGUUAUAGCGUAUUAACUUCACGCCGCAAUGCCUGAACCCACCAAAUCCGCCCCGGCCCCGAAGAAGGGCUCGAAGAAGGCGGUGACCAAGGCGCAGAAGAAGGACGGCAAGAAGCGCAAGCGCAGCCGCAAGGAGAGCUACUCGGUGUACGUGUACAAGGUGCUGAAGCAGGUGCACCCCGACACCGGCAUCUCGUCCAAGGCCAUGGGCAUCAUGAACUCGUUCGUGAACGACAUCUUCGAGCGCAUCGCGGGCGAGGCGUCGCGCCUGGCGCAUUACAACAAGCGCUCGACCAUCACGUCCCGGGAGAUCCAGACGGCCGUGCGCCUGCUGCUGCCCGGGGAGCUGGCCAAGCACGCCGUGUCCGAGGGCACCAAGGCCGUCACCAAGUACACCAGCUCCAAGUAGACUCGCCAAAGGUGAUACUGAAAACAGCCGAAGGCCGUGGGAGCGUCCCCGAAAAUGUACGUGGGGCUUUUCUGGUCGGCCUGCUUUGCAGCGGCUCCCAUAUCUGCUUGCUCUGAGAGGCGGCCAGGGAGGGGGCCUCUCUGGGGGAGGAGGGUGGCAGAGUCUAUACUGUAUCCAAAAGUCGCAGCGGGACCGGAAGGAAACGUGUCCGGGCUCUGAGAGGCCUUCCAGUCCUGUCAGUUACUGUCGCCUCUGUCCUAGGAAGUCCUAUUUCGCUUACAGUCUUUGGGAAGCAUUCAGCUGUAAAGUCCUCUGGGCCACGAGACAGAGGCCCACUACUCAGUCCCAUCAGGUGUGUGACUGUGAUGAGGCGAUGGGUCCCCCCGGGACCGAGGCCCCCUUCUCAGCACCCUGGCCGCUUCCCUGGCGUACCCUUGAGAUGAACAACUUCAGCAGUCUCCUCCCUGACUUAUACUCCCACUGCCCUCCACACCCUGGCGGCAGCAAAGAAGACUUAGGAGAGGUGGAGAUCACGCUGGGGAAAGUUCAGAGUUCUUCACCUUCAUUUUGGUGGCGUGGGCACACAGCGCUACAUAGAAGAAAACGCUCCCUUUGCUUUACAUGGACAGCGGCACUUGACUGACCUUUCCUUUCAACAACCAUGAAAUUCGCUACCGUGGAAAGGGAACAGGAAUUGUAGGAAAGUGAAGGACUAACGUUUUCGAAUUUUGUCUAAACGUUUAACCGUGAAUGUUAAGCUGCAUUUCAUAAAUACAAAACAAUAAAAGUAUCACAGCCAAAUGGUGGCUAUUUUUUAGGAAUAGGGAGAAGAAAGAAGGUGAGAGCUGAGAAAAAGAAUGAAAGAAACAAAUGGCUACUGCGAAAGGGAGCGCCAGAGCCUGAAGACCAAGGGGAAGGCACAGAGGAAGAUCGUUGGAGAAAGGAGAGGGAAAAGAGGGAGAUGAAGAGCUAGAUCUUGUUAUGGGUUUGACCCUUCAGCUGGGAAUAGCACAUUUUACAUACCUCAAAUACGCCCCAGAUUUCUUGGGUUUGGGGGUGAGUGGAUGAUUACAAUGUUACAACAUUUGAGAGACACUCUAACCAGCAAAUGCACGUGGCGCCCUUCGAUCCGGCUCUUAACUCGCUCUGUUCAUUCUUCUUCAUUACCCUUAGCAUAACUGACAUGAAUUUGCAUAUUGCUGGUUUCCUCUUCCCAUUCUCCAGGCUCUAAGCUCCACUGGGCAGAGUUAGUCCUUUUUGCUGCUGACUCCCCAAUGCCUAAGGCUGUUCCAGACACACAGUAGGCUCUCAGUUAGGAUUUACAGCAAUCAUAACGAGUUAAAGUACACAUAUAACAACAGGGACAGGGGCCAGAGGUGAGUUGUUGCAAUGGCUCAAAAGAAUGAGAGACAGCAUUCCUGAGUCUCACUUUCCACAUCUACACAACAAAAAUAAUAGUAUACUACUUCUUAGAGCUAUUUUAGGAUUAAGUAAUAUAAUUCAUGCAAAGCUCUUAAAUCAGUCUUGAAAUAAUUUUGUAAGUGCUUAGCCAAUGUUAACAAGUAUUAGAUUUCUUUAGUCAUUGAAUUAAAAUGAAAUCAGAAGGGCCAAUUCUCUUCAGGUUAGAAACUAAAAGAAGAAAAUGCAAGCCUUUGAACUGCUUGAUUCCACCUGUGGAAGGAUAACUGGAGGAUUUGAAACAAAGAUCUUAUUGUCCAGGUUUCUCUUUACUGGUUUGAGUCAUUAUGUGUUCAUGCUAAAAAUGACUAAAGGGUAGGUAAUAUUGGAACAGAGACUCAUUAUACAAGCACAUGUAAAAAACAAAACAAAACAAAACAA